ACUGCCAUGAUACUGAUAGCAUUGAGUUGUUAACGUAAGCCGCAUGUGUAAUGUAGCGGUGAAAUGCUUAGAUAUUACACAGAACACCCAAUUGCGUAGGCAGCUCACAAAGCCCAAGAUUGACGCUGAGGCACGAAAGUGUGGGGAUCAAACAAGGAUUAGAUACCCUGGUAGUCCACCACUGUAAACGAUGAUAACUCGCUGUCGGCGAUAUACAGUCGGUGGCCAAGCGAAAGCGAUAAGUUAUCCACCUGGGGAGUACGACCGCAAGGUUGAAACUCAAAGGAAUUGACGGGGGCCCGCACAAGCGGAGGAACAUGUGGUUUAAUUCGAUGAUACGCGAGGAACCUUACCUGGGCUUAAAUGUAGAGUGCAUUUUCUAGAGAUAGGAAUUCCCUUCGGGGCUUUCUGCAAGGUGCUGCAUGGUUGUCGUCAGCUCGUGCCGUGAGGUGUCGGGUUAAGUCCCAUAACGAGCGCAACCCUUAUCGUUAGUUGCCAUCUGGUAAAGCAGGGGACUCUAGCGAAACUGCCACCGUAAGGUGAGAGGAAGGUGGGGAUGACGUCAAAUCAGCACGGCCCUUAUGUCCAGGGCUACACACGUGUUACAAUGGUCGGUACAGAGGGCAGCUACCUGGUGACAGGAUGCUAAUCUCGAAAACCGGUCUCAGUUCGGAUCGAAGUCUGCAACUCGA
rnacentral:rRNA from 1 species